CAUGCUGAGCUCAAAUGUUCUAAUUUAAUUAAAUUUUUUUGUUUUGCUUUACUUCUAUUCAUUUUUUAAAAUUUAACAAACCUAUUAUGGCAAUAAUGCGCUUUCCCAUGACUAGAAUUUUCCUUUUUACUGUCUUAAAGUCAGAGGUGGGAAAAAACGAAGUACAAAUACUCUGUUACUGUACUUAACUACAAUUUUCAUGCAUCUGUACUUGAGUAUUGUUUUCUGACUACUUUUUACCUUUACCCACCUACAUUUCUAAACAAAUAUCUGUACUUUUGACUUACAUUUUCAAAACAGCCUCGUUACUUUUGCUUUAAUGCAUUUGGGUCGAGUUAUUAUUUUAUCAUUGCGAGCCUUCAAACAUCAAACAGAUUUGAGCCUAAACAGAAAGACAUGACAGGCAGUCCUGUUCUCCCAUAAAGAGAGAUAACGUGUGCAAAAGUCAGGGGUUAAAAGUGGAAUGGUGUUUUGUUUUUUAACCUGGAGGAGCGAGCUUAAAGGGAGUAACAUUUUUUUAAGUGGCAGGUCAUUUCAAAUGCAGCGUUUUAUCAGCUCAACAAACAUCAGCAAACACACAAACUGUUCCUGUGCAAUUUGACACAGCUAAAAGUCCAGCUGCUGUAUUUCACAGGGAGAGAAACGAAAGAGAGCUAGCUUUACUCAGAGAUGGAGAAAGAUAAGAAAGACAGGACAGUAGAGGAAGAAGAGAGGUUAGAUUUAAAGGUAAGGACUGCUCAGUGGGAUCUGAUAGACUGGAAAUGUGAAGCUUACAUGUGUUGGGGUGUUGCUUGCUUGGAUUCCAGUUUCCUGCACUCUGCAAAUAACGAGCUCCUUUCACAGACUACAUGCAACACUUAUUUGCACAGUAAAUUCAGCUAUUCUGACUGAGAACCUAGCUAUUUUCAAAAUUAAGUGACUAGAAUUAAUGGUACCCUUUCCCUUGAAAAUGAAAAACAAAAUGUUAUUUUGUCAGACAAGAGUAAUUGGCCUCCACUAUUCUGGAUCUAACAUUAUUAUUGUGACCAGGUUUGCAACAACAGGCCAGAAUCUGCAGGUUAAUUAGCCUGCACAUCCUGCUCCAGCACCAAGUGCUUCUUUUCAUUGAGCCAAUGAGAAUAUUGAGUAAAGGUUUUAACCUAAGAGCGGGGCUUGUCCAGGACUGGGAUCCGAUACCUCUCGCAACUGAAUGAAUCAUUCCACCAGUGAUUAAAAAAUAAACAAACCUAUCUAAAUAUAAAAAUACCCUACAUUGUAUCAAUGAUUCAGGCGGGUGGUGGUAUAAUGGUCUGGGGAAUAUUUUCCUGGCACAAUGUGCCAUUUAGUACCAAAUGAGCAUUAUUUAUAUGCUAGCUAUAGGCUGGUCCCAGCAGAACAAUAUGCCAUUUCAUUAAAUUCUAAUCAUCUCAAACUGGUUUAUUGAACAUGACAGAGAGUUCACUGCUCUCAAAUUAACUCGACAGGCGCUAGAUCUCAAUUUAAUAGAGCACCUUUGAGAUGUGGUGGAACAAGAAAAAAACAUCAUGAAUGUGCAGCAGACAAAUCUGCAUCAACUGGACCCAAAUCUAAGAAAUGUUUCCAACAUCAUUGAUGCCACAAAUAUUUAAGCCAGCUCUAUAGGCAAAAAGGGAUCCGGCACAAUACUAGCAAGGUGUGCAUAGCAAAGUAUCCAGUGAGCUUAUGCUUAGUCCUGGCUUUUUUUUUCCAGAGUCUGUCUUUGCCCUCUGAUUUCCCCCAUCCCCUUCCUUGCUAAUGUCUUAAGCUCCUUUGGAAUUUAGUUUUGAAAUUGGCUCUUUGCUUUAACAAUUGUUGUUUGAA